UACGGAGGGCGCAAGCGUUGUUCGGAAUCACUGGGCGUAAAGCGCGUGUAGGCGGCUUGGCAAGUCGGGUGUGAAAUCCCGAGGCUCAACCUCGGAACUGCACUCGAAACUGCUUGGCUAGAGUCCCGGAGAGGGUGGCGGAAUUCCCGGUGUAGGGGUGAAAUCCGUAGAUAUCGGGAGGAACACCAGUGGCGAAGGCGGCCACCUGGACGGUGACUGACGCUGAGACGCGAAAGCGUGGGGAGCAAACAGG
rnacentral:rRNA from 1 species